AUGACUGCUGCUAGGAUUGAUGUCCUAUUGUCGGAGAAACAAUGGCAACCGUCGUCAGUCGCACCGUUUUGUCCAUCUAUGAUAUCAUCCAUGUAUAUUAUUUUGUUGACAAUCACCAUAGGCACUCAAAUCACGAGCCAAACAUUGAUGCAGGCUACUAUGGGGGCUAGGAAGCAGGAUCGACUUGAAGCCAACUUAAAAUUAAUUCUAAUGAGUAUUUGGUCUUCAUUCUGUCUCGAUGCAAACACAUCAACGUGUGGACUACAAUCCAUUGAUGCGUGGAGACCAGAUAUUCAUGUAUAUCGGCCUCACGCGUGUCUUUGCUGGAGCCCAUUCAUGGCGAGGAUAUACAUGGUUGAUGGCCCAACGAUCCUUAGGGGAUGGAAGGAUCCCAUGACUAUAGGAAUUGCACUAAAUAAACUGUGUACUAACUAG
rnacentral:rRNA from 1 species